GUUGCUAUGGUGAAAUAGGUAGACACACAGGCUUGAGGGGUCUGAGACAUCCCGGUUCAAGUCCGGGUAGCAACA
rnacentral:tRNA from 1 species